AAGUGAUGGGACAUGCAGAGGUCGAGGACGUACUCUACUUAAAGAUUUAUACGAGUUAGAUCAUGUCGAGCGUGUCAAAGUAUGUAAAAACAGUUUUGGUCAGCCUGUUGGAUCAGAAGCUCGAGUUUUAGCAGGAUAUUUAGGCGAGGUUUGCUUUAGAGGUCUCGGAUAAUUAUGUCAAGAAGGCAUUGAGAAAAAGGUGGAGAGACCAUAAAAGUACUUUAAAGAAAGAAUGUUUUAAGACAAAAACAACCCUUGAAGAGAAAUUGCGAAAUGUCCCACCGGGAAUGCUGAGGUACCAAUGAGAAGAUGUGGUUAGAUUUUGGAAUUCAAAGAAAUGAGAGGAUCGUGAACGAGUUGGAACAAGCAGCAGGCAAAAACAAAAAUUCACUCACACAGCUGGGUCGAAAAGUUUUGCUUGUGUAGCUGAGGAACUGUCGUCUGGUCAAAAAGUUGAACGCCUUCAGCUUUUUGACAUUACACAUAGGAAGAAAGAUGGAUCUCCUAUAACUUCUGAAGCUGCAAAAAUUAUGCUCGUAGCAAUGCAUGCCUUUGGGGAGUCAAGCUCAAGUUGAAGUUCUGGAGUUAAGAGACUAGAUGGCUCAGAUGCAAGCGAGCAUAGUUGAGCAAAUUACUCAACUUAAAGCGGAGGCAGCAUCAAGAGAAGCUGAGGUUCAAAGAAAAUAUGAAGAACUCUAGCUACAACUUAAAGCAGAGG